GUUUGAUCCUGGCUCAGGAUGAACGCUAGCGGCAGGCCUAACACAUGCAAGUCGAGGGGCAGCGAGAGUAGCAAUACUUGUCGGCGACCGGCGCACGGGUGCGUAACGCGUAUGCAACCUACCAUUGACUGGGGCAUAGCCCGGAGAAAUUCGGAUUAAUAUCCCAUAUUAUUUAAUUUGGGCAUCCAGGUUAAAUGAAAGCUUUUGCGGUCAUUGAUGGGCAUGCGUGGCAUUAGCUAGUUGGUGAGGUAACGGCUCACCAAGGCAACGAUGCCUAGGGGUUCUGAGAGGAUUAUCCCCCACACUGGUACUGAGACACGGACCAGACUCCUACGGGAGGCAGCAGUGAGGAAUAUUGGUCAAUGGGCGCAAGCCUGAACCAGCCAUCCCGCGUGCAGGAAGACGGCGCUAUGCGUUGUAAACUGCUUUUCCAGGGGGAGAAACUUCCGUACGUGUACGGAAUUGACGGUACCCUGGGAAUAAGCAUCGGCUAACUCCGUGCCAGCAGCCGCGGUAAUACGGAGGAUGCAAGCGUUAUCCGGAUUUAUUGGGUUUAAAGGGUGCGCAGGCGGAUUGGUAAGUCAGUGGUGAAAGCCCCCGGCUCAACUGGGGAACUGCCAUUGAUACUGUCAAUCUAGAGUACAGUUGAAGUGGGCGGAAUGUAGCAUGUAGCGGUGAAAUGCUUAGAUAUGCUACAGAACACCGAUUGCGAAGGCAGCUCACUAAGCUGAAACUGACGCUCAGGCACGAAAGCGUGGGGAGCAAACAGGAUUAGAUACCCUGGUAGUCCACGCUGUAAACGAUGAAUACUAGGUGUUGGGUUUUUAACUCAGUGCCGCAGCUAACGCAUUAAGUAUUCCACCUGGGAAGUACGAUCGCAAGGUUGAAACUCAAAGGAAUUGACGGGGGCCCGCACAAGCGGUGGAGCAUGUGGUUUAAUUCGAUGAUACGCGAGGAACCUUACCUGGGCUUAAAUGUUUGACGACAGUCCCCGAAAGGGGAUCUUCCUUCGGGACGUCUUACAAGGUGCUGCAUGGUUGUCGUCAGCUCGUGCCGUGAGGUGUCGGGUUAA
rnacentral:rRNA from 1 species